AUACCUUUCUCGGCCUUUUGGAUAAGAUAAGUGUAGUAUCAUCUUAUCAGUUUAAUAUCUGAUAUGCGGGCCAAUGGUCCACACCAUAUUAAAUUAACUUUUCGGGGAAGACCCAACACAGUAGCUUGCUGAUGGGCUUGCAAGCUUCACCCAUGCUGUGCACUCUAGCACGGACCUGGCGCACCCUAA